rnacentral:rRNA from 1 species
UACGGGGGGGGUAAGCGUUGUUCGGAAUUACUGGGCGUAAAGGGCUCGUAGGCGGCCUACUAAGUCAGACGUGAAAUCCCUCAGCUUAACUGGGGAACUGCGUCUGAUACUGGAUGGCUUGGAUUCGGGAGAGGAAUGCGGAAUUCCAGGUGUAGCGGUGAAAUGCGUAGAUAUCUGGAGGAACACCGGUGGCGAAGGCGGCAUCCUGGACUGGUCCUGACACUCAGGAGCGAAAGCGUGGGGAGCGAUCCGG